rnacentral:rRNA from 1 species
UGAGGAAUAUUGGUCAAUGGUCGAGAGACUGAACCAGCCAAGUCGCGUGAAGGAAGACGGUCCUAUGGAUUGUAAACUUCUUUUGUAUAGGAAUAAAGUGAGGGACGUGUCCCUUUUUGUAUGUACUGUACGAAUAAGCAUCGGCUAACUCCGUGCCAGCAGCCGCGGUAAUACGGAGGAUGCGAGCGUUAUCCGGAUUUAUUGGGUUUAAAGGGUGCGUAGGCGGGCUUUUAAGUCAGCGGUGAAAGGUUCGAGCUCAACUCGGACACUGCCGUUGAAACUGAGAGUCUUGAGUGCAAAUGAGGUAGGCGGAAUGUGUUGUGUAGCGGUGAAAUGCAUAGAUAUAACACAGAACUCCGAUUGCGAAGGCAGCUUACUGGGAUGCAACUGACGCUGAUGC